AGGGCAGUGAAACUAUUCUGCAUGCUAUUUUAAUGGUAGACACAUGACAUCAUGCCUUUAUCAAAAUCCACAGAACUGCACAAUAAAGUGAACUCUAAUGUAAUCUACGGACAUUAGCUAAUAAUAAUGUAUCAACAUUGGUGCAUCAGUUAUAACAAAUGUAUCCAUGUCACUGAUGCAAAGAUGUUAAAAAUAGGGUAAAUUGUAUGUGUGUGGAAGGAAGGGAGUAUAUGAGAACACUCUACUUUCUGCUCAACUUCUAUGUAAACUUGUAACUACUCAAAAAAUAGAGUUUAUCAAUUUAAAAAACUUCUUUUGCCCCAAAUAUUUUUUAAAUUUACUGUUUCCCCUAUCUCUGAAUCUCCCUUAAGGAAAGUUUGAGUUGAAAGUGACUUAAAUUUGCUAAGGAUCAAAUUUAGAAUGACAAAUACCGAAUUUAGAAUCCAGAUAUGUUCUCAGCUUUUCAAAAUAUUUCGUUAAAAUAAAACACAAAUGUACAGUUUUUGCUAAUCAGAAAUAAUUGGCACACGUUCAUUCAAACAUGAAAUUGAGUCUUGGGCAAACUUCAAGUUAACAGGAUGUUCUUGUUUCCUUAAAUUCUGUUCUUUCAUAUCAUAAGGUCUUGGUUGUUCUCUUCCCUGUGACUUCUUGCUGACCUGAACUGAGUCCAUAAGAAAUUUUUGCAAUUUACUGGUGAGCAGGGAUCUUGCACAUAACUCUGAAAGGGUCCCCUUCUCUUGGCCUUGUUGGGAAGAACUUCAUGCCAUCCCUCACUGACCUGUCUUGACCAUCCUUAGAUGCCCCAACUUGGGAAUCCACUAAGGGUAACUCAAGAGUGUGAUUCAUUAUCUUAAAAACCUUGGCCAUAUGUUUCUGGGAUGAUCCACGAAGACUCUCCAGAUAUUUAUUUAAUGAGAGAGACAAACCCAAACAUAGAGCUGUGUGGUUUCAAAAAGAAUUUUAAACAAAGUCCUUGAGCAGUGUUUGACCCCUGUCUUCUAUAAACAGCCUCCCUCCCAACCCCUAUCAUCCUGCUUGUUAUUCCAGGGGGCCAGAGUUAUCUGUCUUGAGACACUGAAAUCGCAUAGUGCUGCAUUUCCUCAAGGCAGAGAAACAGCCAUGGACCUCAGGGAGUGGAGGGUCACAGGCAAAUCUCAUGGCAGGACUGUGGCAGGAGUCAGAAUAUUUACUCACUUUCAGCCCCAAAGGAAAAAGGUACUAUAUACAAAUUAAUAUGUGAACAGUCCUGGAAGGAUUGUUGGUAAGUUAUGAGACAUAAAUUGCAUGAAGAG
rnacentral:lncRNA from 1 species